UCAGUUCUGAAAAUCAGAAUAAUCAGUCGAAAUUCUAUUUUCAGCUUUGCCGAAUAGCUUCAGUGGUUGACAGCGUUCCCUCUAUAAAAUAUUUUUCUCUCCCUUCCUUUUCCUUUUCAGGUUCCAGGCUUCCUGUUUCUAUCCCGGCGUUCCUGUUCAUCAUAAAUAUCAUCAUAUGUUAUGAUAUGCACGUGGAGUCUAUAAGAAAAUAAUAACUAGUGUGAUCAAUAUGUGGUCUGUCUAUUCUUAGGCCGACGUCCCUGAUCCUCAUGAACAUCAUCAUAAAUGAUGAUAUUCAAUACAUAUUUACCCGAAGCCUAAUUAUAACCAUCGAUUAUUGAAAUAAUGUUUGAGUUCACUGCUAUAACUCAGAUCUAUGAAAAAAUUCAAAAAUAAUCUUACCUUCGAUUAGUCCUUCUGCGUCUAUAUGGCAAUGGCCAUGCUCUUCUCAUCACUUGGUCCCGCCGCCUGGCACAAUCAUCACACGAAUGCGAGAUUGCAUAUGUGUGAUCAUGGAGAUGUGGUCUGUAAAAUAUUUUAAGAUUAAUGUCAAUACUGACCAACGACUGCUACUUGUGGUAAUUGCCCCAUUCAAAAUGAGCAUUUCUAUCACAAACUGAAAAUAUCAGAGAUGUAUUCAAGUCAAACUAGUUUGAAAAUCAAACUUUUCAUGUAAAAACAGUUUGACUUGACUUGAUUUAUGUAUCUUUAGGUUUGGGUUUAAAUCAAACUUUUUCAACCUGUUUAAAGUUUGAAUAGCACAUUGCGCAACGUGUCUGAACCUGUCUGUGAAAAAAGGGCUUGCUUUAACGAAUUUUUUGCCGAAAAUAGUCCUUACAAACAUUAAUAUUUCGAUUAUUUUCAAAUGAUUUCUGUUUUCACAAGAAAAUUGUAUUUUGUGCAUUAUAUCAAAAAGUUGUAUGAACAAAUAUAAAAAUAAUCUUACCUUCGAUUAGUUUUUGGCCUACGAGGAUAUGGCCUUGUGCGCCUUCUUGUGCAAUCGUUGCACAAGUGGUUUUCACGACUACUAGCAAUAGCAUAUGUGUGAUAUGAAUGCAUUAUACUAUUUUAGUCAUUCCUGAUUCAUUAUGUACUGUAGGCUAGGGAGUUUAAUGUUACAACAUGAUAAGAAAUAAAAGCACCCUUAUUUAUUGUCGGAAGAGGUGUCAGCCUUAAAUUCAAAUAUUCAAAAGCUUACGAUCAGUGGCGUACCUAUAAAGAAGACCCUGACCUUUUUGAUAAAACCAGAUCAUUUUACUUGUUAAUCACUUUGCAAGGGCUUGUUUUAACGAAUUUUUGCCGAAAAUAGUCCUUCUAAAUAUUAAUUAUUUUGAUUAUUUUCGAAUGAUUUCUGUUUUCACAAGACAAUUGUAGUUGGUACAUCAUAUUAAAAAUAUCACGUAAUAUUAUAUUAUUAUGAUAUCUCACUUAUGAAAUUAUAGAUGUAAUUAGAAAUCUAUUAAAUAGAAUACUAUUUGAUGGCAAGAUAACUUUUUAAGGUUCAUGUAAAAUAUCAUGAAAAAGUUACUUCAAUACGAAUUUGAACAAAGGUUUUCCCAUUUUUUAUUCGCUCUAGGGUCCUGCUUACCUGGCUACGCCACUGUAUGGGAUCGUGAUUAGACACAGUACAAGUAAUAAAUUGAAAGGGCCAGCAUAAAAAGAAGUCAACAAAUGCUACCUAUUUUACAUUUUCAUAGUGCAUUUUGAUUUUAUACUCCUUAUAACUGAAAAAUAAUUCUUCAAGACUCAACUAGUUAAACUAGAGUUAUACUAAUAACUUUUAUAUUUAUUCUUACGUUUAUUUUACUUCAAAAUCGUUUAGUUCGAACAUUUCUUCUAGUGGCGUUCUCUUUAUUUUUUUAUAAAGUCUGAUAGUAUAUUUGUAUGAAAUUCAAUUCGGUUUAUACUCAUGUGAGAAAUAAUAUCUUUAUUUAAUUAUUAUUAUUGUUAAUGUUACUUCCCGUUUCAAUAGUAUCGCUGCCGCAUAUAAUUAAUAUGCUUUCAUUUGAAUUGCGACAAAAUAUUAUUUUUUAUAUAGUCUGAUAGUAUAUUUGUAUAAAAUUCAAUUCGGUUUAUAUUUAUACACAAUAAAUAAUACAUAUAUUUACCUAUCUCAUUUUGUUUUCUGGUCCUAGUACUCAGCCCUCCUGGUCUGUACGACAAAUAUUAUAUGCCUAUAAUUUUCAAUUUAAGUUUUAAUCAUUAUUUCCUAAUAUUAUCUUAGUUUUCAUUUUUACCUGAUACUUUCGACGUACUGGCUUGCUGGUCAUCUCGCCGACUUUUAUUCCCGUAACGACUUAACAUGACGGGAGAAUAGGCCCGUUCACUUCAAGGCUUCAGUUUGAUGGCUUCCCUUAUAUCUCCGUCGGGAUUUAUUUCAAACUGAGCUAGAAGAAGUUCGAAAUUAACAGAUCCUAACCCCUAUCAUUUAAGUGUAGCAGGUAUGACUCGAAAGUAUCGUACUGACUGGCCAUUUCAAAUAUUAGAUCGAAGUGUGUAUUCGUAAAGUAUUAGUAUUUCUGUAUAAGGGCCGAGGUGAAUGAUUCCUGUUUUCCUCCUAGACUCUUCAGGACCGUCUUUACUUUAUCAUGUUUAUUUAAUUUCUUGAACAUGGACUCUCGAUCGGUUUCUCCUUGUGUAAUUAACUUAUGUAUUACUAUUAUGAGUAGUCUUACAUAAGUUUUCCGUGGCCAAUGCAUUUGAUUUGAAGACAAAUAUCAUCAUCAAAACAUUAAAAGACAAUAUUUGAACGUUUCAAAAACAUCCUGCGAUGCAUAUGAUCUUGCAUAUCUUUUGGAAACGAAGGAUCUUGCAUUUCAAAUUUAUUUUAUGAUCCCAAACCUCGUCGCAAAGUGAUUUGCAUUUUUAUCUUGAUGUUAUAGCGAAUAAAAUGUAGGUAAUGCCUUGAAAUGCUUAAGCACUUCUGGGUUGUUGGUUUCAUCUUACCUCCAUCAACAAUUUUAUUAUUUCUUAUUUUUUAUCCAUGUAAGUUCUAAAAUGAAGGUAUUCAUUCAAGAUGAAAACAUCCAUUCAACCUGAUAUUUGAUUAUAAUGUUGUAACCUUCUUUUUUAUUUUCGUAUCAAUUUUAUGAGAGGUUAUAGGCUUUGCGACAAGAAGCUCUUAUGUCCUUGAUCCAUUUAACCUAAUAUUGCAUUAUAAUUUUAAAAAUCAGUGCCUGAACAUCCUUGAAGUAAUCCUGGUUUGAUUAUCUCUUCAUCUGGCUUUUCUCUUUUUAUAUUAAUUGAAGAAUCUUGCAUUUAUGAAGAAUUUUGCGCUUUCAAAGCCUCCUGCUAUACCAAUUAAUAUUUGCCUUUCUGGGGGUCUCGCAGAUCCUUUGGACACGAAGGAUCAUGCAUUUCACAUUCAUUAUAUGCAACCAAAGAGGAACUGAUGUUCCGUAAUUGAUGAACAUUAUGCAUUCGUUCUUUAAAAACCUUUACUUCUUCAUUCCAUUUAUAUAUCAACAUAAAAAAGAGAAAGACAUUUUUACUAAUUCUUCGUACAUCUUAGGAGCUCAGAUUUAUAAAUAAAUAUAAAUCCUAAUGUGAUAAAAUAAGCAAAAUGAGUGCAAUCUAAAAUUUUCAUUCUCAAAUGGAUGAUGCUUAUGGUCCUUACUUCCUGUCAUAAGACGAAAUUGUUCUAAUAAUGCAAUGAAUUUAACCAUACCAUAUAUGUUCUUUCGCUAACUGAAAUCCUUUAUAUAUAAAGGACUUUAUUCUUCUUCAAAAAUGUUUUUUAAAAACUCUUACUUUUUCAAUCCACAAAUUUAUCAAUAAAAAAAAUUGGAAAGAUUAAAUCGUUCAUGUAAUGCAAUGAAUCCAAGUAUUGCAUCUCUUCUUUUUGAAUGUUUCUUCGGAAGCGAAGGAUCUUUCGUCUGUUUCCAUCAUCUUACAUUUAAAAAACAUCCUGCGUUUCCAAAGAAUCUUGCAUAUUCGAUAGUAUUGGUAUAUCGGUAUGGCCAAUGUAAUGCCUUGAAAAGCUUGAACAUUGUCAGUGCAUGAAAAAAUCAUUCGAACUGCUUUUUGACAAGUUGAGGUGUUUCAAUUUGUGUCUCUUCUGCCCAUUUCACAAUGAUGGCUAUAAGAACCUUUCUGAAUAUCUCUUCCUGGUGGGAAUAUUUCUCCGAGAAUUAAUGACACUGCAUUUAUUCUCUUCCGAUUCAGGUUCAAGUUUUCGCUCUUCUUCCAAUUCCUUCAUCGCAAAGAUGGAAUAUUUGCAUUUUUGAUUAUUUUUUUCGACCGAAUUUAUGCACGAUU